rnacentral:rRNA from 1 species
AUUGAACGCUGGCGGCAGGCCUAACACAUGCAAGUCGAACGGUAACAGGAAGAAGCUUGCUUCUUUGCUGACGAGUGGCGGACGGGUGAGUAAUGUCUGGGAAACUGCCUGAUGGAGGGGGAUAACUACUGGAAACGGUAGCGAAUACCGCAUAACGUCGCAAGACCAAAGAGGGGGAGCUUCGGGCCUCUUGCCAUCGGAUGUGCCCAGAUGGGAUUAGCUAGUAGGUGGGGUAACGGCUCACCUAGGCGACGAUCCCUAGCUGGUCUGAGAGGAUGACCAGCCACACUGGAACUGAGACACGGUCCAGACUCCUACGGGAGGCAGCAGUGGGGAAUAUUGCACAAUGGGCGCAAGCCUGAUGCAGCCAUGCCGCGUGUAUGAAGAAGGCCUUCGGGUUGUAAAGUACUUUCAGCGGGGAGGAAGGGAGUAAAGUUAAUACCUUUGCUCAUUGACGUUACCCGCAGAAGAAGCACCGGCUAACUCCGUG